rnacentral:rRNA from 1 species
CAGUAAGGAAUAUUGGUCAAUGGACGCAAGUCUGAACCAGCCAUGCCGCGUGGAGGAUGACGGCCCUCUGGGUUGUAAACUUCUUUUAUCUGGGACGAAACACUUCUUAUCUAGGGAGCUUGACGGUACCAGGUGAAUAAGCACCGGCUAACUCCGUGCCAGCAGCCGCGGUAAUACGGAGGGUGCAAGCGUUAUCCGGAUUCACUGGGUUUAAAGGGUGCGUAGGCGGGCAGGUAAGUCAGUGGUGAAAUCUCCGAGCUUAACUCGGAAACUGCCGUUGAUACUAUUUGUCUUGAAUAUUGUGGAGGUAAGCGGAAUAUGUCAUGUAGCGGUGAAAUGCAUAGAUAUGACAUAGAACACCAAUUGCGAAGGCAGCUGGCUACCCAACUAUUGACACUGAGGCACGAAAGCGUGGGGAUCAAACAGGAUUAGA